AUGAGUGGCUAUCCAAGGAGCAUGGGGAAGGGGAACGCAAGUUAUAACGUAAUUUCUCCCUCUCCAUCAUGUCUUCAUCUAAAGGCAUCUCCGGUGAUCCAAGACCUGCAACGUAUUGAGGGCUGUGCUGGCCUGAAGGAGACACUCUGGAGCAAUCCCGGAAAUUGGUGGAAUUCUCUUCUGCUCCCUGACUCGAACCUAGGAUUUAAGGAGCAAAAUUUAGGAAGCAAAAUAAAAAUGAUAGGGAACAUGCAAGAAGGAGUUCUAGUCUUGGAGGGAAAGAUGAAAGAAGUGGAUGUAAAAAGAAUUAACAUGUGAUAUAUGGAUAUACAACCUCCCUACAAUGUGAACUGAAGCUGACUUCGCUCUCCAGAUCACCCAUUACAAGGAACCAUAGAAAAAAACAUAGGCCUCACAGUUUGUUGGAAGUGUCAGACUAUUCUCAGAGAUGAGCCACUCAGGAAUGUUGGGCUUGACUUCGAUCUGUCCUUCUCCCACCUCUGAGCUGUGGUCCCGCUUCACAGGAGUUAAUUGUUUGCUGUCAGUCUCCAAGGUAACCAAAUGUUUAAUUUCCAAUGUUUCCAUGAAGUGCCAAGUUUCAUUCCAUUCCCUAAUUCACUGUUCAUGGCUAACUACUGUUUAUGUUUAUGUGAGUUUGUGUAUUUCUUUAUGUAUAUAACCUGUUUUUUCUACCAUUUCACAUAGGAGCCCUGCAUGAACAUGUUCAUAGUCUGAAACAAAAAAGUUCACUCCUGACAAAGUACAUUUUUUCUGAUAUUAUAAUUUUUCCUGUACACAUCAGUGUUUCAAGGUUUUUAAAAAAGCAUUUUCUUUGCUUCUGUGAGGCUCAGUUUCUUUUCAAUGGAAGGAAAAAAGAAUUCUGUUAGAAAAUAACAUGAUUUGCUUCCCUGGUGCCCUUAAGGAAGAAGUCAAAUGACAGAAAAUGCAUUUUCAAAGGAAAAAUUUACUCUACAACUGUAACCCAUAAACCCCGAGGGACUCUCUACAGCUAACCUAGGCCUUUGACAAGAGAGAAAACAUCUGGGUCGUCUUAAGCUUUUCUUGACUCUCAGACUACCUCCUCUCAGGAAGACGCUGCGCGCGCACACACACACGCGCGCGCUCGCUUCUCGCCUUCAGUCACUUCUGUCCCUCUUUCUCUCUUCUCUGUUACUGCACCACAAACUAGAAAUCCUCUUUUCCCUGUUUAGAAGGCAAUUCCUGCUUCCCUAUUCCCAGAAUAUGCUAACACUUACGUCUGGCUCUCUUCUCUGGCUGUUCCGCAAGUGAUGGCUCAAGGUGGUUAGGGUUUUUUUUGUGCUUCAUUAUU